rnacentral:misc_RNA from 1 species
GAUGAAGAACGUAGUGAAAUGCGAUAAGUAAUGUGAAUUGCAGAAUCUCGUGAAUCAUCGAAUCUUUGAACGCACAUUGCGCCCUAUGGAAUUCUGUAGGGCAUGCCUGUCUGAGCGUCAGCAGCAAAAAAAUCAAAAUCUUUGUAGGUAGAGAUUUGGAUUUGGUUAAGAGAUGUAAUCUGUAAAGAACCGGUUACUCUUUUGAAAUUUAAAGGCAGUAUUGAUCAAUCCAACUGUAAACGUGAUAAAACAUUUCGUUUUAUUGUUAGGAAUGAGCUUUUUGCUUGCCUAUAAACCCACUCAUCUUCAUGGGUGACCUCAGAUCAGGUAGGGAUACCCGCUGAACUUAAGCAUAUCAAUAAGCGGAGGA